GGUAGCUUAAUUGAAAGUUUGGGUUCUUGCCCCAAGGUUGUGUUUUACCCGUUGGU
rnacentral:tRNA from 1 species